ensembl:lncRNA
AUGGCUGGCACAGGACCCCCGGGGCACGGCAGGUGCCCGUUGCCCGCUCCGCCAGCGGCUGCAUUCCCCAAAAGCACACCAUCCCAUCGUGUCUGCUGCCUCCUGACCCCCGGCCCUUAUCUCAUCCCACAUCACCUUCCUGCGUUUCCUGGCCUCUCCCUGCCCCGGGCCAUCCCUGGGUCUCCGGAGCGAGCCGUGGCCACGCCCGAGCUGGCGCGGGUUACCAGCAGCCGCGGGGCUGGGACCGCUCGCCGCCGGGCCCGGGCUUCGCGCUCGUCCUGGCCGCUGGGGCCUCGGAGAGCGGCGGCAGGAGCGAGGCAUCACCCGAGCGCUGACAGGCGCCUCUCCGCCUUCCCCGCCCGGCGCAUUCGCCUUGCCACGUGCAGAACCCGGCAGGCGCGGACCGCCAGCGCCCUCGCGGUUGCCGUGGCUACGCACGAGCGGCCGCAGCUGACCCAGGCGGGGCCUCCCUCCGCCGCCUCCGCCUCGGGCUCCGUCCCCGCUCGGUUAGGGAACCCCAAGCCCCCGGCCCCUACAAGCUGUGCACACCUGCAGCAGACCCGUUUCUGCAAAGCUUCUGAAGAAAAGAAAACAACUUCAAAGCGCUUGGAAAAGUUGUUGAAUAGGAAAGCUGGCUGUCCUGGAAAUCCCGGCUACUGCUCUGUAACACAAGGCACCUCACCUGUCUCUGCUCAGGCACACAGGUGCUGGGACAGGGAAGAAGAGGAGUUCCAGGCACAUGAGCUGGGAGUGCCAAAGAACAGACACACAGCUGGCACUGAAGGGAGGAGCCAGCUAACAUCUAAGACCAACAGCCCUUCAAACGGCCCUUCAGACUGUGCUGUGGAAGCCAGGGCAGCACCUCCAGACCAUUUAUCCCCACUUCCAAGUUCUGCAAGACAAGUUGUUGUGAUCGUCAAGUUCUGGAAGACUAACUGUCAUGGUCUUGUCUCCAGGGGAUCAUCGCCUUAUGACUGUGGAGAAUGUGUUGAGACUAUUUGCAGAAAGGAUUGUCCAAUGCCAGACAAAAUGGAUUUGAAAAAUGCCUGGUGCAAUGGGGAAAAAGGUAUUGCUUGAUUGACAAGUAAUCAGGUUCAGAGGACACAGUGAAUUGGGAGGCAAGUCGAUGUGUCUCACUUUUGAGGUUGUUAGUGUUCUCCCAUUAAGACUGAUAUCCGGGCUGGUGCCGCGGCUCACUAGGCUAAUCCUCUGCCUUGCGGCGCCGGCACACCGGGUUCUAGUCCCGGUCGGGGCACCGGAUUCUGUCCUGGUUGCCCCUCUUCCAGGCCAGCUCUCUGCUGUGGCCAGGGAGUGCAGUGGAGGAUGGCCCAGGUGCUUGGGCCCUGCACCCCAUGGGAGACCAGGAGAAGCACCUGGCUCCUGCCAUCAGAUCAGCGCAGUGUGCUGGUCGCAGCGCACCAGCAGCGAUGGCCAUUGGAGGGUGAACCAACGGCAAAGGAAGACCUUUCUCUCUGUCUCUCUCUCUCACUGUCCACUCUGCCUGUCAAAAAAUUAAAAAAAAAAAAAAGACUGAUAUCCACUGACCGUGCUAGAGAAGUUUUAGAAUGAGUAGCUCUUAGAUGCGUAGACUCAGAGUAGCAGUGCCUCACCUUUAAAGGUAGAGAAACAAUGGGCUCAUGGUCCCUGAGAAAGCAGAGGGCAAAGGAUGAUUAGAUAAAUACCCCU